CCCAGACUCCUACGGGAGGCAGCAGUGAGGAAUAUUGGUCAAUGGCCGGAAGGCUGAACCAGCCAAGCCGCGUGAGGGAGGAAGGCGCAGAGCGUCGCAGACCUCUUUUGCCGGGGGACAAAAGGCCGGACUCGUCCGGUCCUGAGGGUACCCGGAGAAAAAGCAUCGGCUAACUCCGUGCCAGCAGCCGCGGUAAUACGGAGGAUGCGAGCGUUAUCCGGAUUUAUUGGGUUUAAAGGGUGCGUAGGCGGUCCGUUAAGUCGGCGGUAAAAUUGCGGGGCUCACCCCCGUCGAGCCGUUGAAACUGGCAGACUUGAGUUGGCGAGAAGUACGCGGAAUGCGCGGUGUAGCGGUGAAAUGCAUAGAUAUCGCGCAGAACUCCGAUUGCGAAGGCAGCGUACCGGCGCCAGACUGACGCUGAGGCACGAAAGCGUGGGUAUCGAACAGGAUUAGAUACCCGUGUA
rnacentral:rRNA from 1 species